AGCGAACGCUAGCGGCGGGCCUAACACAUGCAAGUCGAGCGCAUAGCUUCGGCUAUGAGCGGCGGACGGGUGAGUAACACGUAGGUCAUCUACCCUCUUGUGGGGAAUAACCCGGGGAAACCCAGGCUAAUACCGCACGAGGCCGAAAGGUCAAAGCCGGCCACGGCGCCAGAGGACGAGCCUGCGUCGCAUUACCUAGUUGGUAGGGUAAUGGCCUACCAAGGGGACGAUGCGUAGCCGGUCUGAGAGGAUGAUCAGCCACACUGGGACUGAGACACGGCCCAGACUCCUACGGGAGGCAGCAGUGGGGAAUAUUGCGCAAUGGGCGAAAGCCUGACGCAGCCACGCCGCGUGAGUGAUGAAGGCCUUCGGGUUGUAAAGCUCUGUCGGAGGGGAAGAAUACUGACGGUACCCUCAAAGAAAGCACCGGCUAACUCCGUGCCAGCAGCCGCGGUAA
rnacentral:rRNA from 1 species